GAUGGAGAUGGAGGAGGCGAUGGUGGGAGUUGGGCUCUGGUUUCUGUUGUUGUUGUUGAAGGGUUUGAGAGACGAAGGUGGAGGAGGGAGGAAGUUGGAGUGUAGGAGGGAGGUGGGUGAGUGUUUUGGGAGAGAAAUUGGGCGAGCCAAUGCC